rnacentral:rRNA from 1 species
UACGUAGGGGGCAAGCGUUGUCCGGAGUUACUGGGCGUAAAGCGCACGCAGGCGGUCGAUUAAGUUUGGAGUGACAGUUGGUGGCUUAACUGCCAAAGUGCUUCGAAAACUGAUCGACUUGAGGGCUUAAGAGGGACACGGAAUUCCGGGUGGAGUGGUGAAAUGCGUAGAGAUCCGGAGGAACACCGAAGGCGAAGGCAGUGUCCUGGGGAGGACCUGACGCUCAGGUGCGAAAGCCAGGGGAGCGAACGGG